AAUAUUCUCCAUUUUCAUUAAUUUGUGAACAAUCUGAAAAUACAUAAACAAUUUUGUUAACUAUCGUUUAAAAUGAUGAUUGAAAUGGAUUAAUUUUGCUUGGAUUAUUUAUUACAACAUAAAUGUCAGUAUUUAUUUGUUGAUGAUGUAAACGUUUUCAAAAUAUUCGUACUCUAUGAUUUUUCGGGUGUUUUUUGUGGUGAUGAAUUACUUUUAUUUAUUUUUAAGAACUUAAUGAUUUAAAUUAUAGACUUAAGGUGAAUUUAUAGACGUAGCAUAAUUAUAACGGAAACAAUACUACACUAACAGGAUGAAUAUUAAUAAAACCACCUGUCAUUUUCGAUAUGGUGAACUGGUUAGUUUAAUUAACAUAAGGGGAUAUCAUAAACAACCCUUCAAUUCACGCUCUAUGUACUUUUCAACGGACAUUUUAAGUUUCGAUAGGAAAUGUCGACUUGUAUAUUAUUACAAGAAUUUUCAAAAACUACAUUUAAUGUUUCGAAACUGAUAUCUAGAUAAUGAUAUUAUAAAUAUUCACGUAGCCGGAUAUUAAAGUUUGUCACAAAAUAUUAUCCUGACUUAACACUCUAGAAUUAUUCAGUGCGUUCCUUCAAAUUUUCUCUCUUUAUAUUAUUAGAAUAUUUAUAUUUAUAUGUUUGCAUAAAAAUAAAAUAAAAUAAUUUUUUUUGAAUACAUUAUCGCUCUUAAUUAUUUAGUUAUACAUCUAGUCUUCGUAAUUCUCUAGAAGUUGCUUUCGCGCAUACAUAAUAAGACAUGUAGCAGCCGCCACCGUCUGACAUUAAGAAUAAAGCAGGUGUGACUAGCACCUGACUAGCAGUCGCCAUCAACUAUGACCUCGUGCUCACAAACGAAAAAAAUAAAAACACAAACCACCUGCCACCACCGACAUGCAUGCACGCCCUAUGUGUUGUAAUCUUAUGUGCUAUUCUAAUAUUCCCCUAUAUUUUCACUUCAGAAUAUUUAAAAAACUACUACUGUUGAGAUGGGCCAUCAAAAUUUUUACAUCUUAAUUUUAAAUUGAUUUAUUUUUAGGGAAAGAAGAAAGACAUUUUAAGCCGAUGGAAAGGAUA